rnacentral:rRNA from 1 species
UGAUAUGAACCGUUAUAACCGGCGAUUUCCGAAUGGGGAAACCCAGUGUGAUUCGUCACACUAUCAUUAACUGAAUCCAUAGGUUAAUGAGGCGAACCGGGGGAACUGAAACAUCUAAGUACCCCGAGGAAAAGAAAUCAACCGAGAUUCCCCCAGUAGCGGCGAGCGAACGGGGAGGAGCCCAGAGCCUGAAUCAGUGUGUGUGUUAGUGGAAGCGUCUGGAAAGGCGCGCGAUACAGGGUGACAGCCCCGUACACAAAAAUGCACAUAUUGUGAGCUCGAUGAGUAGGGCGGGACACGUGGUAUCCUGUCUGAAUAUGGGGGGACCAUCCUCCAAGGCUAAAUACUCCUGACUGACCGAUAGUGAACCAGUACCGUGAGGGAAAGGCGAAAAGAACCCCGGCGAGGGGAGUGAAAAAGAACCUGAAACCGUGUACGUACAAGCAGUGGGAGCACGCUUAGGCGUGUGACUGCGUACCUUUUGUAUAAUGGGUCAGCGACUUAUAUUCUGUAGCAAGGUUAACCGAAUAGGGGAGCCGAAGGGAAACCGAGUCUUAACUGGGCGUUAAGUUGCAGGGUAUAGACCCGAAACCCGGUGAUCUAGCCAUGGGCAGGUUGAAGGUUGGGUAACACUAACUGGAGGACCGAACCGACUAAUGUUGAAAAAUUAGCGGAUGACUUGUGGCUGGGGGUGAAAGGCCAAUCAAACCGGGAGAUAGCUGGUUCUCCCCGAAAGCUAUUUAGGUAGCGCCUCGUGAAUUCAUCUCCGGGGGUAGAGCACUGUUUCGGCAAGGGGGUCAUCCCGACUUACCAACCCGAUGCAAACUGCGAAUACCGGAGAAUGUUAUCACGGGAGACACACGGCGGGUGCUAACGUCCGUCGUGAAGAGGGAAACAACCCAGACCGCCAGCUAAGGUCCCAAAGUCAUGGUUAAGUGGGAAACGAUGUGGGAAGGCCCAGACAGCCAGGAUGUUGGCUUAGAAGCAGCCAUCAUUUAAAGAAAGCGUAAUAGCUCACUGGUCGAGUCGGCCUGCGCGGAAGAUGUAACGGGGCUAAACCAUGCACCGAAGCUGCGGCAGCGACGCUUAUGCGUUGUUGGGUA